AGGAUGAACGCUGGCGGUAUGCUUUACACAUGCAAGUCGUACGAGAGUUUUUAACUCAAGUGGCGGACGGGUGAGUAACAUGUAAGAAUUUGCCUUUAGGAGGGGGAUAACAACUGGAAACGGUUGCUAAUACCCCAUAUGCUUUCGAGUAAAAUGGAUUUAUCCGCCUAAAGAGAAGCUUGCGGCUGAUUAGCUUGUUGGUGAGGUAAUGGCUUACCAAGGCGACGAUCAGUAUCUGGUUUGAGAGGACGAUCAGACACACUGGAACUGAGACACGGUCCAGACUCCUACGGGAGGCAGCAGUGGGGAAUUUUCCGCAAUGGGCGAAAGCCUGACGGAGCAAUACCGCGUGAGGGAUGACGGCCUAUGGGUUGUAAACCUCUUUUUCAGGGAGGAAUCAAUGACGUGUACCUGAAGAAUAAGCAUCGGCUAACUCCGUGCCAGCAGCCGC
rnacentral:rRNA from 1 species